CAGUUAGAAGUCGUGUGAAGAUUUGGAAAUAAGUGACGAUUGGGGAACUCUUAAAAGAUCUGAAGGGUUCGUCCUCAGCGACGCGUCACGUCCGAAAGGAACACGUCCCGUCUCAUGCCGACGGAACACGCCCUUGGCAAUGGUGCGUCCUAAUCGA